CCCGAUAAGCGAAGGUUUGUAUUAAAUGGAAAAGGUAAAAUCGACCCUUAUUCUUCUGCUUAUAAAGGUAAGAUGCUUGAAACUUUUGAAACACCUUUGUACUCCUCGGAUAUUGACAAAGAUCGAGUUGAUGAUUUAAUUUUUGUAAAACACUUAGAUCAAAAUGUGCUUGACUGUCCUAUUUUAUUUAUUGAUGAUCUAUCUGUUUUGAUGGUUG
rnacentral:lncRNA from 1 species